rnacentral:rRNA from 1 species
CCUACGGGUGGCUGCAGUCGAGAAUCUUCCGCAAUGGGCGAAAGCCUGACGGAGCGACACCGCGUGCAGGACGAAGGCCCUCGGGUUGUAAACUGCUGUCACGCUCUAGGAAACCCAUGUCGUUAAUAGCGGCAUGGCUGACUAAAGCGAGAGGAAGUGGCGGCUAACUCUGUGCCAGCAGCCGCGGUAAGACAGAGGCCACGAACGUUGUUCGGAAUCACUGGGCAUAAAGCGCACGUAGGCGGCUAGGUCCGUCCAAUGUGAAAGCCCCCGGCUCAACCGGGGAAUUGCAUCGGAUACAGCCUGGCUUGAGGACGGUUGGGGUGAGUGGAACUCCUGGUGGAGCGGUGAAAUGCGUAGAUAUCAGGAGGAACACCGGUGGCGAAAGCGGCUCACUGGACCGUUACUGACGCUGAGGUGCGAAAGCUAGGGGAGCAAAC